GGGACACUCGUUCAGAAUUGUACCACGACCGUGUCCGCAAGGCUAGGUCGUGGUGUGGAGUUGCUGAAGUCCUUAUGCCGGACGAGUGGGCAAAGGGAGAUGCCAAAGUCCAUAAAAUGAUUAAUUUAAAUCACAGUAAAAAAUCUUAAGACCCGAUGGCAUUCCUGUCGGGAUCAAUUCCGGCGCGAAGAAACUGCCCGUAAAGGCAAAAGUGGCGAUAGCGGUGAAAAAAAAAAAGCCCUAUCUAUACACACAACAACUACUAUUUUUGAAGACUAUCUUUGAGAUGAGACAGACCAUCGACAGCCUCGAGGAUGAGCCCGCAGCAAGCCAACAGUCUGCAAAAAGCACUCUAGUGAUGUCACCACAGGAGCCCUCCUCUCCAGCUCUCACUACACCAAUGGCUAUGACACCACCACUAGAGAGCAGAACACCCGAGGUCACACAUCCACAGGCAGACAUAACUACAAGGGAUUCAAAACGUAAAAGGAAUCCUCCUCAGCCUGUUUCCGGUUCCAGUACUCGAGACCUGAUUGAUUGUCAGGUUCUUGAGUAUUUAUUCCGAAACAAGCCAGAAACUCCAGAGGACACCUUCCCUCCCUUUUUCUUGAUUCUCCAUUUGAUAAGUGCUAGAAAAUUGGUCUCUGGAAUA